rnacentral:rRNA from 1 species
UACGUAGGUGGCAAGCGUUGUCCGGAUUUAUUGGGCGUAAAGCGCGCGCAGGCGGUCCUUUAAGUCUGAUGUGAAAUCUUGCGGCUCAACCGCAAGCGGUCAUUGGAAACUGGGGGACUUGAGUACAGAAGAGGAAAGCGGAAUUCCACGUGUAGCGAUGAAAUGCGUAGAGAUGUGGAGGAACACCAGUGGCGAAGGCGGCUUUCUGGUCUGUAACUGACGCUGAGGCGCGAAAGCGUGGGGAGCAAACAGG